GCGUGUUGUCAGCCGCCCUCCGGCAUUUGGAGAGGUGAGCGCGGCAGCGCGCUCAGCCGGUGUCUCAGGGGCUGGGUUUGGAGGAGGACCUGCGGUGUGCUCCUAGACUCCGACUUUCGUCUUGAGGCGCGUUCGCGCCCACGGGCCAUGCCUCACCGACCGUAAGUGGGCACUGUCCCGGCUCCGGGAGAGCGAGACGCCGCGCGCCACCGGCCAUGGGCAGCUUCCAGCUGGAAGACUUUGCGGCGGGCUGGAUCGGCGGUGCAGCCAGCGUCAUCGUCGGCCACCCUCUGGACACAGUCAAGACUCGCCUGCAGGCCGGCGUCGGCUACGGGAAUACCCUCAGCUGCAUCCGCACUGUGUACAGGAGGGAGAGCGUGUUCGGCUUCUUCAAGGGCAUGUCCUUCCCCCUUGCCAGCAUUGCUGUCUACAACUCUGUGGUAUUUGGGGUCUUCAGUAACACACAGCGAUUCCUCAGCCAGCACCGCUGCCAGGAGCCCGAGGCCAGUCCUCCCCGCACGCUGUCGGACCUGCUUCUGGCCAGCAUGGUGGCUGGCGUGGUCUCUGUUGGGCUGGGAGGGCCCGUGGACCUCAUCAAGAUCCGGCUGCAGAUGCAGACACAACCGUUUCGUGACGCCAACCUCGGUUUGAAGUCCAGGGCGGUGGCUCUUGGGGAGCAGCCAGUGUACCAGGGGCCUGUGCACUGCAUUGCAACCAUUGUGAGGAAUGAGGGCCUGGCGGGGCUGUACCGGGGGGCCAGUGCCAUGCUGCUGAGGGAUGUCCCGGGCUAUUGCCUCUACUUCAUCCCCUACGUGUUCCUGAGUGAGUGGAUCACACCCGAGCCCUGUGCAGGCCCCAGCCCCUGUGCCGUGUGGCUGGCAGGUGGUGUGGCAGGAGCAAUUUCUUGGGGGACAGCGACUCCUAUGGAUGUUGUGAAAAGUCGACUUCAAGCUGAUGGGGUUUAUUUAAACAAAUAUAAAGGUGUCCUGGACUGUAUCUCCCAGAGUUACCAGAAGGAAGGUCUUAAAGUAAGCCCACAGCAGGCCUGCGGGGUGUUUUUCAGAGGCAUCACUGUGAACGCGGUGCGGGGCUUCCCCAUGAGCGCGGCCAUGUUCCUUGGGUACGAGCUGUCACUGCAGGCUAUCCGCGGGGACCACGCCGUGACGAGCCCAUGAGUGCCAGGGACUUCAUUCCAUUAGCAGGUCAAUGCAAAAGUGUCUGCAGAACCCAUGAUGUGAAUUUACCGAAGAGAUAGAUGGACUUCCCACCAGGUGGGCUUUCAGCCAAGCAUGCUGCCCUCAGAACCCCUUCCUCCUUCCUUCACAAGCACUCUGAUCCUCACCCUGGCUGGGGCAGUGGAGCUCCUGCCUUGGAGGGAUGCAACUGACCAUUGGUCAACUGAUCAACUAUUUUGGUUUUGGAUUUGCACUGGGUAAUAACAGAUGAACAGACCAGAACAAAACAAAACUGGAUUAAAUUGGCUCUGCCCCCAUGACUGUUGUAAACUCACUGGGAAUUCACAGAAGAGCUGGAGUUGGCUCUAAGUUUCCAAAUAAAAGCAUUAAAAACCUUUUCACAUUGUUUCUGCAGCAGAUGCCUCUGCCUGGCUUCCAAGAGAGGCACCUGGCCACUGUCAUCCCUCUUUCUGUUCAGGCCUCUGUGGGUAUUACAGGCCCAGAGGGAAACCCCCUUCACACAGGAGCACCUGGGCUGCGAUGAAUGAAACUCAGCCUUAGUGAAGAAACUGGCUCCAACCCCAACGAAUCUCAUGUGGUAGCCAGAAGGUCAGCCAGCAACAGCUCUGCAGUCCUCUUCGAUUUUUCUGGAGGGAGUCCGCGUCUGGGAGUGCAAGACCUUGGCCCUAAGGGGAGAGCACCAGGGCCCGUGACACUUCUCUUCCUGUUUCCUGGGUGUCUCCAUCUCCCGUGGUGUUGCCCUUUUCUUUCUCUGUGGUGGAAACAACGUCACAGGAGGAAGACCCUCUCCUUGGAUGCCCGGUACAGUAGGUGAACACAGGGUGACUCCAGUGUUCCCUCAUCUCUGCAUGUGAAACCCUGAGAGCUGCAAAGGUUUGGACUUUGGACCUCCGAGUGGACACCAGUUAGCAAGCAUGGGCUAGGAGGGUGCAGACACCGACGUGGCCCUUCUAAUGCCUGAGAUGCCUCAUGAAUCAUUGAUUCAAGCCUUCCAAGGUUCUGACCCCCAAUGCCCACUCUGCUAGGCUGGUAUCAAAGAGGUUUCCAAGCAAUGUUUGGUGCAGCAGAGAAGUCCAGACCAUGAACACCAGGGAGCCAGAAACCAUCCAGAGAGAUGUUGCUUCGCUCCUCUGGCUGGGCCUGGGGAGGGGCCAGUGAGCCACGCCCUCAAGUCUCAAGUCCCACAUCCCUGUGCCUCUCCUCUUUUCUCCUUACCGACCAGGUUUCUCCUGCACCCGUGGAUCCUGAGGACAGCGGAGCGCCUCCCUCACCGCACACUGAGCCCAGCGCCUGCUCCUCACUGCGCACUUACUAGUGUCUGUUGAGUGAUUGAAUCACAUCUUCAGGUCUGCA